rnacentral:rRNA from 1 species
GAGUUUGAUCAUGGCUCAGGACGAACGCUGGCGGCGUGCGUAACACAUGCAAGUUGAACGACGGUGUCAUGAAGUGGUAACACGGAAUGGCAUACGGAGUAGCGGACGGGUGAGUACAACAUGAGAAGCUGUCCAAUAGUGGGGGAUAACGUUCGGAAACGGACCCUAAUACCCCAUAGGCCUUUUGGUUAAAGCAGCGAUGCGCUAUUGGAGGUGCUCGUGUCCUUUCAGCUGGUUGGUGAGGUAACGGCUCACCAAGGCGACGACGGGUAGCCGGCCUGAGAGGGUGUCCGGCCACACUGGAACUGAGAUACGGUCCAGACUCCUACGGGAGGCAGCAGUGGGGAAUAUUGGGCAAUGGGAGAAAUCCUGACCCAGCGACGCCGCGUGAACGAAGAAGGCCUUCGGGUCGUAAAGUUCUUUUAUGUGG